rnacentral:misc_RNA from 1 species
GAUGAAGAACGCAGCGAAAGGCGAUAAGUAAUGUGAAUUCCAGAAUUCAGUGAAUCAUCGAAUCUUUGAACGCACCUUGCACUCCUUGGUAUUCCGAGGAGUACGCCUGUUCGAGUGUUAUGAAACUCUCAAAACGCAAUUGGCUUAAAACCUGAUUGUUGUUUUGGAUUUGAACUUUGCCGUGUUACAACGGCUGGUUUUAAAAGCAUUAGCUGGUACUAGAACGAAUUGGUUCUACUCAACGUGAUAAUUAUCUGAUCGUUGAGGACAUUCCUUUCACGAGGAAUGGCCAUAGUAAAUUCAAUGGACUGCUUCUAACUUGGCUUUAAUUCUUAAUUGGAUUAACCACUUUUCAAAUCUGACCUCGAAUCAGGUGGGACUACCCGCUGAACUUAAGCAUAUCAAUAAGCGGAGGA